AUUGAGAAAUGUGGAUUCAAUUGUAUUGCAAAAAAAAUAUUGGAAUACCAAAAAAAAAAUAAUAAUGUAAUAAAAGGGUUUUAUACCGAGCAAAAGUAAUAGCAUUUGCUACGAAUUCUUACACUCAGCCAGAUGCAAGAAUUUGCUUGGAUAAAGGAAUUGCCGUCAACUUUAUUAAGAUAACUGAUGCAUCGAUUUUUAUCACAAUGCUUCCCACCAUUUAUUAAAGUUUUUUUUAAAUAACAAAGUAAAGAGAAUAAAAAAAUUAAACUCGAAUAUCAUUAAAAAAUUAAGAAAAUGAGAAAAACGAGUUAGACAAAGAUUUGAAUGAAACAAUGAUUGAAUAUAUAAUGAGUAUGCUAGGACGACUAGAGAGUUUCCCAAUUUCAUUAGUUAAUUAUGACAGUUAAUUAGUGAACUACUGUUUUCCGAAUAAAUAAAAUCAUACUUUUAAUCUUCAUAAAUCGCGUCCAUAACAAAUUAAAAAUUCGAUGCCCAGUACAUGUUAUCCAACAUCGCAGAAUUUUUUAAGCAAAGCACUUGCUGAUCCAAUUCGUCAGGAAAUGAAAUCAUGCAUUAAAAAUACAUUUGAUAUACCCUAAACACAUCAUGAUUUGUUUGGGUAAAUCACAAUUACAAAGAUGCUUCUUCCCAUUGCAAAUCCUUGUAGAGAAGUCUCAUGAGAAAACGCCUUUGUAAUUCAAUAGUAAAGCUAGCAAUAUAAUUAGGCUUCACUUUCAGGAUUCAUUUCACGCAAUGGAAUAGCGGUGUCGCUGUUCGCGUGCUGUCUGGCAUCACAAUCUGGAGAUGAUAGCAAACGAUUUUCCACAAAAUAGUCUCUUUCCAUCAUUACCAUUAUCUCCUAUUAAUCUUUUCAUAAUGCUUAUUCCGAUUAAUCCAGGUUCCACUAUAUUGUUAAUAUAAAUUAAUGUUUAGUCAAUAUCGAACCUGUUUCAGCAAUAAAACGGGGACGCUCAUUACAGCAAAGAUAACGUUAUUAGCCAAAGAGCAUUUGAAUCCUCAUCUCUCGCCAGAAAUGUAUCUUAAAUUCAAUCGUGGUGAUCCAGCAAGUAUGUUAAAUAAAAAGACUUCUGCGAAAACCAGACGCAUGGUUUCCCACUUUUCAAGAAAUUGCUUACUGCUUUCCACAUGCCUUGGUUCAGAUUUUCUAGAAGACUGAUGAGUUAGUGAAAGAGCGUAAUAACACCUUCAUUCGUAGCUUACAAAUCAUAGUAAUCAAUAGGAUUAAACAUGUUAAGCCAAUUAAAACAAAGAAUGCUAUUUUGCCAAACGUCGACUUCUCCAACGGGUUUACACAACCCCAUGCAGUAAAAAAGACAACACUAACUGCUAGAACUGCUAUUAGUAGUCUCAGAAGGGAAUAUAUAUUUGGAUGCAAAUCUUUGAAUUCUUGUCUUCUUUCGACAUUGGGAUUUGCAGUUUCUGUAGGUCCUGUACUUGAAUCCUCAGGUACAAGAUUAGCAAGUUUCGAAAUGUCUGCAUUUAUAGUUAGCCUGGCGUGUAAUAUUUAAAGAAUGAGUGAAAUAUAUAUUCCAAUUUUGAUAACUUAACGUGAGUUCAUAACAUGAGUAAAUACAAUGUGCGCAUGUUUGAUGAUCUAGUGUUGGGGAUGCCAACUGUAAACAAUGACCACAACCAUGUUAUUUUAAAGCAACAGCAAGAUGUAAGUUUAAUUGAUUUUUCUUUUUUAUUGUUUGCAACGCUUACCUGAAUAUGGAGGUAGUGUACUCUCACCCUCCGAAUUAUGUUCUGGGAGUGGUCCUUUUUCCAAAUCAAUUUCAUGUCCUGUCUUCAAUUCAUCUUCUUCAUCUACAGAACUUUUCAAGGAAGUGUAAUUAUUCUUCAUAAUAAUAAGAUCAUUCUUUAUUUAAUAAAAUACAUGCGCGAAUUAAUUGCUAUAAUUGCGACAAACGAAACAGCGAAUUCAAGAAUAUUCGCUCUGUAGUCCAAUUCCAAUCGCUUUAAAGACUU